GCGAGUGUGGCUCAGUAGGAAGAGUAGUUGUCUUGCAAUCAGAAGGUUGUGGGUUCAAGGCACUUAACCUCAAGUUGCCUACCGAUUUGCG